CAAUAACCAGGGGACGCUUCUCAGAACUCCUGCCUCCCCUCUUCCCCAUCAUUUUCCCUGUUUGGAGAGUGAGAUAACAUCAUUAUCAGAAUUAGCCAAAGCUGGUUUUUAUCCCAGGCAUAAUGAAAGAGAGAAGGCUUACAAAUGACUGUCUUUUACUCACUAUCAGGGGCAUUUGGUACAGCUCUGCAGUCAAGUCUGAAUGGAGGGGGUGCUGUGUCUAAAGGAAAGAACUGCUUGUUCUCCUACGAACAAAUACUGUACAGAGGGAGACUUAAUUGUCUCCACUGCUACUACAAGCAUUUAUGGGGGAUGAAUGAAAUUGUCAGAUCAUCAUGUGUAGGCUAAAAUGCAGAAAAUAAAUGGAAAACCUGGGGUUGUAAUCUCAGAGCUGAAACGGAAAAGUUUUUAAAAUCACUUAUGCCUCCACUGAGAUGUGUGUGUUUUCUGAAUCCCAAGAAAGUGAUCAGCUAAAAUCAGCUAAUGAAGGGUUGGCCAUACAGAGAAUAAAACUAAACCCAACUAAGGAAACAGAACUUUGGAUGAACUAAAACACAUUAAGGAAGAGCAGCAUGGUCUACUACUGCUGCUGGGGAAAUCCCUUGACCACUAUUUGGAAUCGAUCUGGCUGGAAACCGAUGUCAAAAUUUACAUAGAGACUUCGUAACACUUUGUAAAGUGAAAUAAAAAAUAAGAAGACAGGA